UACCUCUAGUUUCCCUUCAAAAUACGCAUAAAUCUUUCGCCUUUUACUAAAGAUUUCCGUGGAGGGGAACGUUUAUGAGAAGAUAGACUAAUUUUUUUGGCACUCGGCGAAAGCUGGGUC